GACGAACGCUGGCGGCGUGCUUAACACAUGCAAGUCGAACGGUAAGGCCCUUUCGGGGGUACACGAGUGGCGAACGGGUGAGUAACACGUGGGUGAUCUGCCCUGCACUUUGGGAUAAGCCUGGGAAACUGGGUCUAAUACCGAAUAUUCCUUGCUGGUCGCAUGGCCUGGUGAGGGAAAGCUUUUGCGGUGUGGGAUGGGCCCGCGGCCUAUCAGCUUGUUGGUGGGGUGAUGGCCUACCAAGGCGACGACGGGUAGCCGGCCUGAGAGGGUGUCCGGCCACACUGGGACUGGGAUACGGCCCAGACUCCUACGGGAGGCAGCAGUGGGGAAUAUUGCACAAUGGGCGCAAGCCUGAUGCAGCGACGCCGCGUGAGGGAUGACGGCCUUCGGGUUGUAAACCUCUUUCAAUAGGGACGAAGCGCAAGUGACGGUACCUAUAGAAGAAGCACCGGCCAACUACGUGCCAGCCGCCGCGGUAAGAC
rnacentral:rRNA from 1 species